GACGAACCGUGCGAACGUUAUUCGGAAUCAUUGGGCUUAAAGCGCGUGUAGGCGGAUUCGUGCGUCUGUCGCUGAAAUCCCCCGGCUCAACCGGGGAAGUGGCGUGGAUACGACGAGUCUGGAGGGGCAUAGGGGGACCUGGAACUUCCGGUGGAGCGGUGAAAUGCGUUGAGAUCGGAAGGAACGCCCGUGGCGAAAGCGAACUUCCUGGACCAAUACUGACGCUCAUGUGCGAAAGCGUGGGGAGCAAACAGGG
rnacentral:rRNA from 1 species